rnacentral:rRNA from 1 species
CCGCGGUAAUACCUAGGACCCGAGCGUUGUCCGGAUUUACUGGGCGUAAAGGGCGCGUAGGCGGUCCAUCAAGUCUUGUGUGAAAUCUCUUGGCUUAACUGAGAGGCGCCACGGGAAACUGAUGGACUUGAGGAUAGCAGAGGAAAGCGGAAUUCACGGAGUAGUGGUGAAAUGCGUAAAUACCGUGAGGAACACCAGUGGCGAAGGCGGCUUUCUGGGCUAUUCCUGACGCUAAGGCGCGAAAGCGUGGGUAGCGAACCGG